UGCGUGUACAUGCAUGUGCGUGCGUACAUGUAUGUACACACACACACACACACACACACACACACA
rnacentral:miRNA from 1 species